UGUAUUUGUUACAAAUUAAGUGGUUCUCUUAGCUUUCUUCUUGUUUAUUACUUAUUAGUUAAUAAAAUUGAAGCAUGUUUGUGCUCAAGCCUAUGUCUCUCAAUUUAAUGCAUGCUUUACUUUGGUUCCUUUACUUGACUUGAAGUUUCUGCAAGUUAUUCACUUUGACCCCGUACUACAUUACAUGUUACUAGAAAUUGACAGUUUGGUUUCUUUGACCAAAAUCAAGUAGAAUGACCUGAAUUAGAUUGAUGUUAAAGUUCUUAACUUUUUCGUUUGAUGUAUGGUUAAAAUAGACAAGGCAUUGAAAUUUGAAUGUAAUAAAACAUAACAGAUGACUUGCAUGUAGCUCCUUUCUAAGGUUCUAAGUUGGCAUACUUAUUUGCAAGGAUUUGCUAAUUUAUUCCAUAUGUCAAGUUGGUUUUCCAAUAUUACAUGAAUAUUCGGGUGUCUGGCUAUGCAGUUCACUGGAAACUAUAUGCUUCUCUUUUCCUAUUCAGGUGUAAUUACUUCAUUCAUUUA
rnacentral:misc_RNA from 1 species